rnacentral:rRNA from 1 species
AUUGAACGCUGGCGGCAGGCCUAACACAUGCAAGUCGAACGGUAACAGGAAGAAGCUUGCUUCUUUGCUGACGAGUGGCGGACGGGUGAGUAAUGUCUGGGAAACUUCCUGAUGGAGGGGGAUAACUACUGGAAACGGUAGCUAAUACCGCAUAACGUCGCAAGACCAAAAAGGGGGACCUUCGGGCCUCUUGCCAUCGGAUGUGCCCAGAUGGGAUUAGCUAGUAGGUGGGGUAACGGCUCACCUAGGCGACGAUCCCUAGCUGGUCUGAGAGGAUGACCAGCCACACUGGAACUGAGACACGGUCCAGACUCCUACGGGAGGCAGCAGUGGGGAAUAUUGCACAAUGGGCGCAAGCCUGAUGCAGCCAUGCCGCGUGUAUGAAGAAGGCCUUCGGGUUGUAAAGUACUUUCAGCGGGGAGGAAGGGAGUAAAGUUAAUACCUUGGCUCAUUGACGUUACCCGCAGAAGAAGCACCGGCUAACUCCGUG